GGCGAGAUAGCUCAGUUGGUAGAGCAAACGGCUCAUAAUCGUUAGGUCUCGGGUCCGAGUCCCGAUCUCGCCA
rnacentral:tRNA from 2 species